rnacentral:rRNA from 1 species
UACGUAGGGCGCAAGCGUUGUCCGGAAUUAUUGGGCGUAAAGAGCUCGUAGGCGGCCUGUUGCGUCCGCUGUGAAAUCCCGGGGCUCAACCCCGGGCCUGCAGUGGAUACGGGCUGGCUAGAGGCAGGCAGGGGAGAACGGAAUUCCUGGUGUAGCGGUGAAAUGCGCAGAUAUCAGGAGGAACACCGGUGGCGAAGGCGGUUCUCUGGGCCUGUACUGACACUGAGGAGCGAAAGCGUGGGUAGCAAACAGG